GCCAGACUCCUACGGGAGGCAGCAGUGGGGAAUAUUGCACAAUGGGGGAAACCCUGAUGCAGCGACGCCGCGUGAGCGAAGAAGUACCUCGGUAUGUAAAGCUCUAUCAGCAGGGAAGAAGAUGACGGUACCUGACCAAGAAGCUCCGGCUAAAUACGUGCCAGCAGCCGCGGUAAUACGUAUGGAGCAAGCGUUAUCCGGAUUUACUGGGUGUAAAGGGGGCGCAGACGGCGAUGCAAGCCAGGAGUGAAAGCCCGGGGCCCAACCCCGGGACUGCUCUUGGAACUGCGUGGCUGGAGUGCAGGAGGGGCAGGCGGAAUUCCUAGUGUAGCGGUGAAAUGCGUAGAUAUUAGGAGGAAUACCAGUGGCGAAGGCGGCCUGCUGGACGAUGACUGACGUUGAGGCUCGAAAGCGUGGGGAGCAAACAGGAUUAGAUACCCCCGUAGA
rnacentral:rRNA from 1 species